ACCUUACCAGGUCUUGAAAUCCUUUGACCACUCUAGAGAUAGAGCUUUCCCUUCGGGGACAAAGUGACAGGUGGUGCAUGGUUGUCGUCAGCUCGUGUCGUGAGAUGUUGGGUUAAGUCCCGCAACGAGCGCAACCCUUAUUGUUAGUUGCCAUCAUUAAGUUGGGCACUCUAGCGAGACUGCCGGUGACAAACCGGAGGAAGGUGGGGAUGACGUCAAAUCAUCAUGCCCCUUAUGACCUGGGCUACACACGUGCUACAAUGGACAGUACAAUGAGCAGCGACACGGCGACGUGAAGCGAAUCUCAUAAAGCUGUUCUCAGUUCGGAUUGUAGGCUGCAACUCGCCUACAUGAAGCCGGAAUCGCUAGUAAUCGCGGAUCAGCACGCCGCGGUGAAUACGUUCCCGGGCCUUGUACACACCGCCCGUCACACCACGAAAGUUUGUAACACCCGAAGUCGGUGAGGUAACCGCAAGGAGCCAACCGCCUAAGGUGGGAUAGAUGAUUGGGGUGAAGUCGUAACAAGGUAACCAAGGGCGAAUUCUG
rnacentral:rRNA from 1 species